rnacentral:rRNA from 1 species
UACGUAGGGUGCGAGCGUUAAUCGGAAUUACUGGGCGUAAAGCGUGCGCAGGCGGUUUUGGUAAGCCGGAUGUGAAAUCCCCAGGCUCAACCUGGGAACUGCGUCUGAUACUGGAUGGCUUGAAUCCGGGAGAGGGAUGCAGAAUUCCAGGUGUAGCGGUGAAAUGCGUAGAUAUCGGGAGGAACACCGGUGGCGAAGGCGGUUCUCUGGGCCUUACCUGACGCUGAGGAGCGAAAGCAUGGGGAGCGAACAGG